rnacentral:tRNA from 1 species
GGUGAUUAGCUCAGCUGGGAGAGCACCUCCCUUACAAGGAGGGGGUCGGCGGUUCGAUCCCGCUUAGCUCCACCA